rnacentral:rRNA from 1 species
CCCUUAGAUGUUCUGGGCCGCACGCGCGCUACACUGACUACUUCAACGAGUUGUUUCCUUGAUCGAAAGGUCUGGGUAAUCUUUGAAAGGUAGUCGUGAUGGGGAUAGAUCCUUGCAAUUUUUGAUCUUCAACGAGGAAUUCCUAGUAAACGCAAGUCAUCAGCUUGCAUUGAUUACGUCCCUGCCCUUUGUACACACCGCCCGUCGCACCUACCGAUUGAAUGGUCCAGUGAAUCUUUAGGACUGUGGCUGAGGCCUUGCCUUGUGCGGGUCUGGCCGUGGGAAUUUAGUUAAACCUUACCAUUUAGAGGAAGGUGAAGUCGUAACA